GCCUGGAGGGCUUGAGUUUCGAGCCCGGCCGGACCAGCCGGUUUGGGGUGGAAAUUUGCAGCCAAGGGAUGAGCGCUAGACAAACCCGCUAACGGUGACAGCUUGGCUGCAGGCUUCCCGGUGGAGAUAGUCGGAAGCGUCGGGACCGCUAGCCCUGGUGGCUUCGUGUACGCCCCUGAGUCGGUGCCCGGAGACGCAGUGAGAGCGCGGAGCAGAACCCGCUCGGCCGAGAUGCGGCCGUGGAGACGCGAGCCUGAGAGAUCACAAGCAGGCAGAGAGAGAGGAGGAAGCAGGCUCCCUGCUGAGCAGAAAGCCC